rnacentral:lncRNA from 1 species
GAAAAAGGAAAGAAAAAAGAAGAAAAAGAAAAAAAAAUGCUCUUAGAAUUCUGUUUUCUUCUCUUCCAGUAGGUGGCAUUAUGCAUUCCAGGUUGAGACUCUGUCCUCAGGGUGGUGGAAGCAACCUGUGUGAGGAGGCUCUCCCUCUCCUGCCUGGUGCCUCUUCGAUUCCCAUAUCUUGGGUUGCUCCGGGUCUCUAGCCCCCUCCCCUCUCCUGCCCACCAGGUCCCAAUUGCGGGAUCUCUUGCCCACAGCCCCCUGUUCACUCCAGGCAGUCACCGCAUCAUCACAGCUGGGGGAGAGGGAGGUGGAGACCAGGCACCUUGUCAGUUGCACCCCACUCUGAUAGCCACGC